CAGCUGGAAUCCCACGAAAAUUACCUCCCAUAAAACCAAACAACACAAACCACUUAAAAAAAACAACUUAUUUUCUCCAUGCAUGCUAUGCCCAAUACUCACAAACACAAAACAAACGCAAAAGUCCUUCAUUUUUCCUCUUCUUCUCUCUCUCAAGUAGUAAAAUUACAAACAGAUUAAUGUCAAAAUCCUACAUCAGCAUCAUCACCAUGUUCCUCAUUUCUCCAUUCACUAUAUCAUGUUGGAAAAUACAUCCGGAGCGAUGCAAGCCGGGGAGUAUCGAGAUAUAUCAAUGGGCGUCGGGAUUCGCAAGACUUCAUAUUCCCAAAUACACAGUGCAGAUAGCGAACGAGGCAUGGCGUGUUAAGGGAGUUUACCUUCGCCUCAACAACCCUCAUUAAUCUGAAAGUUUUUCGUCGCCUAGAUAUGGCAAACUGUCUCCUCAAUGAUGGUGGGAUUAUUUUUCCGGGACAAGUCAUUAAUUUUGAGUAUUCCAAUAUACUUCCUUUUCCUUUGCUUGUUACCAGUUUGAAAUGUGUAUGAUUUUGGUGUCUUUGAAAGAUACUUCCUCCGUCCAUAUUUGCUAUUUUGGGAUGUCCCUUAAAAAUAGACCAAUUCUAUUUAA